UCGAGGGGUAUAGUAGCAAUACUAGAGACCGGCGCACGGGUGCGUAACGCGUAUGCAACCUACCUUUUACAGGGGAAUAGCCCAGAGAAAUUUGGAUUAAUGCCCCAUGGUAUAUUCGAGUGGCAUCACUUGAUUAUUAAAGUUCCAACGGUAAAAGAUGGGCAUGCGUCCUAUUAGCUAGAUGGUAAGGUAACGGCUUACCAUGGCUACGAUAGGUAGGGGUCCUGAGAGGGAGAUCCCCCACACUGGUACUGAGACACGGACCAGACUCCUACGGGAGGCAGCAGUGAGGAAUAUUGGACAAUGGGCGCAAGCCUGAUCCAGCCAUGCCGCGUGCAGGAAGAAGCAUCUAUGGUGUGUAAACUGCUUUUGUACGGGAAGAAACACCCCUUCGUGAAGGGGCUUGACGGUACCGUAAGAAUAAGGAUCGGCUAACUCCGUGCCAGCAGCCGCGGUAAUACGGAGGAUCCAAGCGUUAUCCGGAAUCAUUGGGUUUAAAGGGUCCGUAGGCGGUUUGGUAAGUCAGUGGUGAAAGCCCUUCGCUCAACGGAGGAACGGCCAUUGAUACUGCCAGACUUGAAUUACUGGGAAGUAACUAGAAUAUGUAGUGUAGCGGUGAAAUGCUUAGAUAUUACAUGGAAUACCAAUUGCGAAGGCAGGUUACUACCGGUGGAUUGACGCUGAUGGA
rnacentral:rRNA from 1 species